UCACAGUUGCCUGGAAACCAUUCUGGUUUU
rnacentral:piRNA from 1 species